rnacentral:lncRNA from 10 species
AAAUUAUACACACACACACACACACACACACACACACUAUGUUUAACAUCCUUGUACAUAUGUUUUUGCACACUUGUGCUAACAAUUUUAUAGAAUAAUUUCCUAGAAGAACUGCACAAAGAAUGCCAAUUUUUUUUUUCUGGAGACGAAGUCUCCCUCUGUCACCCAGGCUGGAGUGCAGUGGCAUGAUCCCAGGUCACUGCAACCUUCGCUUCCUGAGUUCAAGCGAUUCUCCUACCUCAGCCUCCUGAGUAGCUGGGACUACAGGCACGUCCCACAAUGCCCAGCUAAUAUAUUUUUUUGAAAUGGAGUCUCACUCUGUUGCCCAGGCUGGAGUGCAGUGGCGCGAUCUUGGCUCACUGCAACCCCUGGUUCACGCAAUUCCCCUGCCUCAGCCUCCCAAGUACCUGGGAUUACAGGUGCAUGCUACCAUGCCCGGCUAUUUUUUUUGUAUUUUUAGUAGACAUAGGGUUUCACCAUAUUGGCCAGGCUAGUCUCAAACUCCUGACCUCAGGCAAUUUGCUUGCCUUGGCCUCCCAAAGUGCUGGGAUUACAGGUGUGAAGCACUGCACCCAGCCAGAAUGCCUACAUUUUAAUCUGAAUCUGUAUUGCCAGCUUUCCCUCUCAAGGUAGCACCAAGUCCAUCCCAAUUUGAGUGGAUAAAAAUGCCUCCACCCCCUCACUGCACCAGGUAUUAUCAACCAGUUUACUAAGGAGUCACAUUAACUAGACCAAUCAAUUCACUCUAGAAGGAUGAGGACGAAUAGUGGGCAUUUCAGAAAUAUUCUUGUUGCUGAGGCUCCAGGGGGCCAAAAGUUUAAUAAGAGCAACCAGGUAUUUUCACAGAAGAAGAAAACACAUCAUUUUCUACUCCUUUUACCCCCUACACAAAAUAAAAACAAAACAGAAACAGUAUAUUAAUAAGUGCCAUCCUGUAUCUGUAUCAUUUAUAAUGUGUAGACUCAGGUUGUGAGGAUAUGAGUCAAAAUCCAGGCAUCAGAUUGAGAAAAGUCAGAGAAAAUCGAUGAAUGCGUUUAGUUUUAGGUAGGAAGCUAAAGAAGUGAAAGUCCUAGAUACAUGCAGAAAUGAUUGUCUAUGGAAAGUGAUAAUGUCCUAAUGUGGAGAGAUUAAUUUGGAAAUUUCUUCACCUCAACUGAAGAAUUUACAGUGCUUUAAAAACUUAUAUCAGGGGCCACUACAUAGAAUACAUUGUUCUCAGACAGAGUAAGUACUUUUGUGGUUAGGUAAGGCAGUGCUAGAAACUCUCAAGAGCAGCUUUCUCUGGGAAAUCACACUUGCUUCUAACAAGAGCUGUGGCUGUGAGCCACCAACACUGCAGGGACACUCAUGCGCCUGGAGGUCCCUAGACAGCAGAAAGGAGGGAGUGACACCUUGGUCAAUCCAGUACGAAAACUAUGUUUGGGUGAUGAUGGCUCAGGCCCUGGCUGGCUUUGCAACCCUGGAGCAGCCACUUAACAUCUCCAAACCUCUGUCAACUUUCUUGUAAAGACAUCAGCAGGAUGAUUUCUAAGAUGUUUUUCAGCUCUGAAAACUGUCAGAUUGUAAACUAAAAGUACUGAUUCACAAAUGUUUGUGUGUUAUCAGAUUGACUUGGAGAGCUAAUAAAGAGCACAGAGGAUAGGAUCUGGGCUCUGGUGAGUGUAUCAAGUUCCCCAGGUGAUUUUGAUACUGACCAAAGGUUAAGAACCACUGAACUAGGGAAAGGAUGAGAAUCGGAGCAUAGAUUUUUGAAAAUAUAUAACUGUUAGGAGAAUUAGUGGGAUGAUACAGUAAAGUGUAAAGUGCUACUAAAAUAUUAUGAUUACUGUAUUACCAUAGGGCCUUAUUUACCAAAUGACUUUAAUUCUGGAAAUGAUCAAUUAUCAAUUAUGGUCAUGUCUUUGUCCAUCUGUUAAAAAAUGUCUCCAUGGGCCAGGUGCAGUGGUUCAUGCCUAUAAUCCCAGCACUUUGGAAGGCCAAGGCAAGCGGAUCACUUGAGCCAGGGAGUUUGAGACCAGCCUGGACAACAUAGUGAAAUCUCGUCUCUGUUAAAAAUACAAAAAUUAGCCAGGCAUGGUGGCAGGCGCCUGCAAUCCCAGCUACUCUGCAGGCUGAGGCACAAGAAUUGCUUGAACCCUGGAGGUGGAGGUUGCAGUGAGCCGAGAUCAUGCCACUGCACUCCAGCCUGGGCGACAGAGCCAGAGGAAGACUCCAUCUCAAAAAAAAAAAAAAAAAAAAGAGAGAGAGAGAGACUCCUGACAGUAAACAGAUCAGUGGUCACCAGGGAUUAGAGGGGAGGGAAUGAUGAAUAGGCAGAGCACAGAGGAUUUCCAGAGCAGUGAAAAUACUCUGUAUGACUGGGAUAGUGGAAAUCAUUAUACAUUUGUCCAAACCCAUAGCAUAUACAGUACUAAGGGUGAGCCCUAAUGUAAACUGUGGACUUUGGGUAAUAAUGGUGUGUCAGUGUAGGUUCACCAAUUGUAAUAAAUGUACCACUCUGGUGGGGAAUGUUGAUAACAGAGGAGGCUAUGCAUGUGCGGGGCAGGAGUAUGUUGAAAAUCUUUGUACCUUCCUCUCAAUCUUGACAUAAGCCUAAUACUGCUCUAAAAAAUAAUGUCUUGACCAGGUGCGGUGGCUCACACCUGUAAUCCCAGCACUUUGGGAGGCCAAAGUGGGAGGAUCGCUUGAGCUAAAGAUUUUGAGACCAGCCUAGGCAAUAUGGUGAGACCUCAUUUCUUUUCUUUUCUUUUCUUUUCUUUUCUUUUCUUUUCUUUUUUUGAGAGAAAUCUUGCUCUUAACCCCCAGGUGUGAGUGCAAUGGCUUGAUUUUGGCCCACUGCAACCUCCGCCUCCCGGUUUCAAACGAUUCUCCGGCCUCUGCCUCCCAAAUAGCCGGGAUUAACCACGCCCGGCUAAUUUUUGUAUUUUUUUUUUUUUAGUAGAGACGGGGUUUCACCAUGUUGGCCAGGCUGGAGUGAGACCUCAUUUCUACAAAUUUUUUUUUUAAAGUUAGCCAGGUGUGGUAGUGCAUACAGUCCCAGCUACUCGGGAGGCUGAGGUGGGAGGAUUGCCUGAGCCUGGGAGGUUGCAGUGAGCCAUGAUCGGCCCACUGCAUUCCUGCCUGAGCAAGAGAACAAAAUGCUUUCUCCAAAAAAAAAAAAAAAAAAGAAGUUUGGAAAACAUCUUAAUAAGUGUUCUUGCCACAAAUAAAUAGUAUGUGAAGUUAUGCAUAUGUUAAUUAGCUUAAUUUAUCCAUUCCACAAUGUAUACCUAUUUCAAAACAUCAUGUUGUACACUAUAAACUACACAAUAUUUAUUUUUCAAUUAUAAAUAAAUAAAUAUUUUAAAAAGUGUCUCCUUCGUUGGGAAAACCCACACCAGUCUCGUUGACUUUCUGGCCUUGUGAUCAGUCUCCAGCAUUCUAGCUCCUUGUUUCAGAUGUGGUACAUGUCUCUCCACUGCUAAGGACACUAAUACUAACUCUUUCAUGAGGUUCCUCAUUUUAAAGCUUUCAAAGCACUUGCAGAUUCAUUUCAUUUGAUUUCACACUCAUCCAAUAGGGUGAGCAGAACAAGUAUCACUAUAUCCAUUUUGGGAUGAUAAUUUUUCAGGCACACAGGUACUUCUUAGAAACACUGCGCCCUGGACUAUAAGCCACUUGAGUUUAGGUGCUGAUGUCUUGCUCACUGUUGUGUGCUUAUCUCUGAGGAUAGAAGAGUUCAGAGUAGAUGUUGAUAAGUAUUAAAUAUAGAUAUUAAAUUCUGCCACUCAUUUCCUAAAAAUGCUGAAUUUUGACCUCAGCAAGGAUAAUACAUCUCCUGUUCAUCUCCACCAGAACUUAUGGUUCAAAAGGGCAGAGAUUUUUUACCUCAUUUGUUCACUGCUCUAUCCCAAAUACCUUGAACGCUGUCUGACUCAUAUUAGGUACUCAAUAAUUACUUUUUAAAAUAAGCAAAUAUGCUUGAAUCUUUAAUGCCUAACCCAGAGCCUGGGCCAGAAAUAUGCUUACUAAGUGUGUGCUGGGCCAGGUACGGUGGCUCACGCCUGUAAUCCCAGCACUUUGGGAGGCUGAGGAGGGCAGAUCACCUGAGGUUGGGAGUUUGAGACCAGCCUGACCAACAUGGAGAAACCCCAUCUCUACUAAAAUUACAAAAAAAAAAAAAAAAAUUGUCUGGGCGUAGUGGCGCAUGCCUGUAAUCCCAGCAACUUGGGAGGCUGAGGCAGGAGAAUCUCUUGAACCUGGGACGCAGAGGUUGCAGUCAGCCAAGAUCGCACCAUUGCACUCCAGCCUGGACAACGAGAGGGAAACUCCGUCCCAAAAAAAAAAAAAAAAAAACUGUGUGAUGAAUGAAAUACUCUAAGGGAAGAGAAAAGAGGGGAAAUUUAAAUAUCAAAGCUAAUAAAAUCAAAUUGUCUCAUCUAUAGUAGACUAUCAAAUGAAUUUCUAUUAUAAGAUGCUACCGAAUCACCAACAAAAUGACCAUUUGAUUUUUUCUUUUUUUUUGAGAUGGAGUUUCACUCUUGUGGCCUGAGCUGGAGUGCAAUGGUGCGAUCUCAGCUCACUGCAACCUCCGCCUCCCAGGUUCAAGCAAUUCUCCUGCCUCAGUCUCCCAAGUAGCUGGGAUUACAGGUGCGCGCCACCAUGCCUGGCUAAUUUUUGGUAUUUUUAGUAGAAACAGGGUUUCACCAUGUUAGCUGGGCUGGUCUUAAGCUCCUGACCUCAGGUGAUCCACCCACCUUGGACUCCCAAAGUGCUGGGAUUAUAGGCGUGAGCCACCACGCCCAGCCAAUCGUUUGAUGUUUUAAACAUGUAUACACAUUUCUUUGGUUGAAAAGAACAGAUUUUAAAACAUGUAUGUUUUUUUGAAAGGUAAGUGAAAAAGCAGCUUAGAAUUAAGUAAAAUAAAAUACAUGCAUUUAGGCCGGGCGCGGUGGCUCAGGCCUGUAAUCCAGCAGUAUGGGAGGCCGAGGCGGGUGGAUUACGAGGUCAGGAGUUCGAGACCAGCCUGGCCAAGAUGGUGAAGCCCCAUCUCUACUAAAACUACAAAAAUUAGCCAGGCGCGGUGGUCAGAGCCUGUAAUCCCAACUACUUGGGAAGCUGAGGCAGGAGAAUCACUUGAACCCAGGUGGCAGAGGUUGCAGUGAGCCGAGAUCGCACUGCUGCGCUCCAGCCUGGGAGGCAAACUGAAACUCAUCUCAAAAAACAACAAAAAAAUACGUGUAUUUAAAAAAGACUGGGAAGGUUCAUUAUGUCUGGAUAAAUAAGGUUUUUAUUUUAAAAAGUGAAGUUAUUAAUUUAAAUACAGACAGGGUUUCACCAUGUUGCCCAGGCUGGUCUUGAACUGCUGAGCUCAAGCCAUCUGCCGACCUCAGCCCCCAGAGUGCUGGGAUUACAGACAUGAGCCACUUUGUCCAUCCAAUAAAUUAGUUAAUGGCCGAUUUUUAUGUUCUUUUCUUAUCCAUACUUUCUGAAUUUUCUAUGCUACACAUUCAUGGCUUUUAUAAUGAGAAAAGAGUGAAUACAAAAGAAAAAUACAUAGAAGGGAAUAUAUUAAAUACAUAGAAGGAAAUACAUUAAAAUUCAAACAAUCAUUUAAUGGAAUGGUGAGGACGUGGAUUAUAAUUUUAAAAAGUAUUGUCUAUUUUUAAAUGUUCUUGAAUUAUUUGCAUUACUUAUAUGAAAAAUUUGACAUUGGAAACUUGCAAGAAUCUAAUUUGCUGUGCAGUCUGAGAUACACUCUACAAAGUCAAAUAUUUGUGAGUAACUUGAAGCACACACCAAGUGUCAAGUUUUGAAAAGGGAAACUUUCACAGGUUAUCAGCCAAAAACGAUGUAUUAUGGUAUUCUCUGGAAAGAUUCUGUGAACAAGCAAGACACCUGUUUCAGGUCUUGUUAAAUACCAGGUCUUUCCAUUUCCUUUAAGCCUUUCAGAGAUUUAGGCCAUGUCAUCAUACCUGAUCACUUCAUACCUGAACCCCACAAGGGCAGCAGCAUCCUCCGGUGUCUACUACCCGUGAGACCCCCUCUAGAGAAAGUUCCAGAAAACAAGAUGAGUUCAAAGAGUUCAUAAGGAACUUUUGGGGGAAGCUACAACUAUUAUUAGUUAACACUGAACAGGGAGCCAGGAGAUCUAGAUUCUUGUUGUAUUUGCCCUGUUCAUAUGACUUUGGACAAACCACUCAUCUUUUAGGAACCUUCAUUUCCUCAUUUAUAUUGAAGACAAUUGAAGUAAAGGACCUCUAAAGUCUGUUUCAGUUUGAAAAUUCUCUGUCUCAGAAGAAAUCCCUUAUGAAGAUCAGCAGCAGGAGGGCCUGGGGUGGAUUGGUGGGCCCUUCCUUCACAGUAAGAGAAAUAGGAACUCAGGCAGGGUCUAAGUCUCUGGGGAAUUUUGAGUUACUCUCAUCCAAUUCUGCACUUGAAAAACUGAGAAGUGAGACUGUGGAUUCAACACUCCUGAUACCCUUUUGAAAUCAAAGGCCUGGCUGCAUCAGGAUCCAGUCAUAAGGACAGAGUCCCCAUGAUGGGAUUAGUGUCUUUAUAAGAAGAGGAAGAGAGCCAGCCCUCUUUCCUUCCACCAAGUCAGAAUACAAUGAGAAGAUGGCUACCUGUAACCCAGGAGGAGUGCUUUCACCAGAACCUGGUUAUCCUGGCACCCCGAUCUUGGUCUUCUAUCCCCCAGAUUGACUAAUAAGGUGUUUAUCAGAGAAGAGGUGAAAAACUGCUCAAAUAAUUUUAGGCACUGUAAACAAAAAUGGAAGAGAUACACAACUGUAUCCUUUUUGAUGGGGGCAAAGGAGUCUCUUCAAGUGAUCCAUAUUGGUACAGGGAGAUGUCUGAACAGGUGCAUUAUGACAUGAUGCCCACAAGCCCAGGUCAUAUAAUGGAAAAGUCAAUGUCCAGAUUAUCAAAGAAUUAAGAGAGCACAAUGGGCCAUCUUCCAUAUGUUUCAGAAAUGCUGAAGAAGUAGUUGAAGAAUUGGUCUUGCCAUUCUCUAGGAAUCAUGUUGCUGUCUAAUUCAUUUGGUUGCUGCUUCUUCACCUCUGUGAAGGUAUUGAGACUGCAUAGGGGACAAAAGAAGCCAAAGAAAAAUGAUUAAAUACAAAAGGCGGCAAAAUAUUUGCUCAUAUUUUAUACAUAAGUAAUAUUGGAGGUCACACCUUUCCUGAGAUCAGUCUGGAUUCCAGGUCUGAUUUUAGAGAGUACUAAAACAUUUGCCCAUAGGUAUUAAAUUAUUCAAAUAGAGGGUGCAAGAGGAGGCAGAAAAAUGAAGGAAAGGGUACUAAUUUGAGGGAAUGAAACACUUAAGGACCUGGUUAUGCCAGGUAGUAGUCACCUUGGGCCAGUAACUUCAGUUAUUUAUUUUCAUGGCCAUCUGUUUCCUCCCUGGAAAACUAGAGGAGAAUGGGGGUUUGUUCAACUCUGGUGUCAAAAUGUGUAUGUGGUGGGGGGGAGGGAUUUUAUUUAUUUUUUUUUGAGACAGUCUCACUCUGUCACCCAGGCUGCAGUGCAGUGGCUGAUCUCAACUCACUGCAACCUCUGCCUCCGAGGCUCAAGCGAUCCUCCCACCCCGGUUUCCUAAGAAGCUGGGACUAGAAGUGCACAUGCAGCUAAUUUUUGUAUUUUUUGUAGAGACAGGGUCUCGAACUCCUGGGCUCAAGCAAUCUACCUGCCUCAGCCUCCCAAAGUGCUGGGAUGACAGGCAUGAGCCACCGCACCCAGCCAAUGUUUUUAUAAUAUGAUUUUUCUGCAACUGUAUUUGCUGGAGAAAAUCACACCACUGUGUUGACCAGUCAUGAUCACACAUCAAGAGGACUGUCUUACAUCUUUUCAUCUCUUCUGUAACCUCCAACUUAUCCCUACAUUCUCACCUCUCAGCUUCACUUUCAACCAAUGAAUCUACCUCAUCUUUCAUCUAGAGCUAUACUGUCCAAUGGUAGCUACUAGCCACAUGUAGCUAUUUAAAUUUAAAUUAAUUUAAAUUAAAAAUUCAGUGCCUGAGUUGCACUAACCGCAUUGCAAAUGUUAAACAGCCACAUCUCCCCUUACUAUCAUACUGGACUGUGUAGAUAUAGGACAUUUUCACCAUCUCAGAAAUUUCUAUUGAACAGCACUGGUCUAUUGUAGAAGAAUCCCCUCGUCUACUCAACCCUGACUCUCUAGACCUGUCUGCAAUAUACGUCCCUCUACCUUCCCUUUUGUGCCAAUGAAAGAGGUGUCCCUGAUUCUAUCAGAGAACCAGCCCCUCCAUGUGUCAUCUCACCAACUCAAGGACCUUGCUUUCUGUCUCACCAUUCUGUGUUGUAAUGUUUCCCCUUUAUACUGAAUUAUUUUUAUUGACAAAAUGUCAAAUCUUUUAAAAAAUAAAAUUUCCCACUUCUGAGAAAUGAAAUAGACUUACUUUUUCUUAUUACUCCUGCUAAGUACAAUGAAAA